GUUGCUGAAGGUGUCGGAAACCGCUGGAGUUUCUGACGCCUCUAACCCGGGUUCAAAUCCCGGCGGCCGCACCA
rnacentral:tRNA from 1 species